UCCGGCUUAUCACCGGCAGUCUCAUCAGAGUGCCCAACUUAAUGAUGGCAACAGACGAUAAGGGUUGCGCUCGUUGCGGGACUUAACCCAACAUCUCACGACACGAGCUGACGACAGCCAUGCAGCACCUGUAUCCAAGCCAGCCGAACUGAAAUAAUCCAUCUCUGGAAAAUAUACUUGGUAUGUCAAGCGUAGGUAAGGUUCUUCGCGUUGCGUCGAAUUAAACAACAUGCUCCACCGCUUGUGCGGGUCCCCGUCAAUUCCUUUGAGUUUUAAUCUUGCGACCGUACUCCCCAGGCGGUAUGCUUAAUCCGUUAGGUCCGUCACCGAGAGCCUAAGACUCCCGACAACUAGCAUACAUAGUUUACGGCGUGGACUAC
rnacentral:misc_RNA from 1 species